AUGUUAGAAGGUGUUAAAUCAAUAGGUGCCGGAGCUGCUGCCGGUAUUGGAAACGUCCUUAGUUCUUUGAUUCAUUCCAUGGCGCGAAAUCCAUCAUUGGCUAAACAAUCAUUUGGUUAUGCCAUUUUGGGCUUUGCUCUCACCGAAGCUAUUGCAUUGUUUGCCCCAAUGAUGGCCUUUCUGAUCUCAUUCGUUUUCCAAUCGCAUAAAAAGUCGUAA
rnacentral:rRNA from 1 species